GUAGACUUGCUCUGUGGUCAGCAAGGCUUUGGAGGGAGGUGCUGUAUGCUUUCAUUGUCAAAGAAGUCAGAGUCUUUCCUUAACUAAUUGUAUCUGUAUAUGCCAUGUUGAUCCUUAUGAAGAUGCUACCCUCUGGACAUACAUGAGGACCUCUGAGAGAGAGGACGAGUACAAGUGGGGAGGAGCAGAGACAAGGAGAGACAGAAUCCCAAGCAGGCUCCGUGCCAUCAGCGACAGCCUGAUGCGGGACUGAACUCACGAAACAUGAGUUCGCGACCUGAGCCGAGACCGAGAGUCAGAUGCUUAACUGACUGUGCCACCCAGGCGCGCCCACAUUAAUUGUGUCUUCAUCCGAGGUGGCAUCUA
rnacentral:lncRNA from 1 species